GACAAGGGCCCAGGCCCUACGGGGCGCAGCAGUCGCGAAAACUCCGCAAUGCGCGAAAGCGUGACGGGGCUACCCCGAGUGCCGUCCGCUGAGGAUGGCUUUUCCCCGGUGUAAUGAGCCGGGGGAAUAAGGAGAGGGCAAGUCUGGUGUCAGCCGCCGCGGUAAUACCAGCUCUCCGAGUGGUAGGGAUGAUUAUUGGGCUUAAAGCGUCCGUAGCUGGCUUAGCAAGUCUCCUGUUAAAUUCAGCGACCUAAUCGUUGGGCCGCGGGAGAUACUACUAGGCUAGGAGGCGGGAGAGGCCGACGGUAUUCUCGGGGUAGGGGUGAAAUCCUAUAAUCCCGAGAGGACCACCAGUGGCGAAGGCUGUCGGCUAGAACGCGCUCGACGGUGAGGGACGAAAGCUGGGGGAGCGAACCGGAUUAGAUACCCGGGUAGUCCCAGCUGUAAACGAUGCGGGCUAGGUGUUGGGGUGGCUACGAGCCACUUCAGUGCCGCAGGGAAGCCGUUAAGCCCGCCGCCUGGGGAGUACGGCCGCAAGGCUGAAACUUAAAGGAAUUGGCGGGGGAGCACCACAAGGCGUGAAGCUUGCGGUUCAAUUGGAGUCAACGCCGGGAACCUUACCGGGAGCGACAGCAGAAUGAAAGCCAGAUUAAAGGUCUUGCCAGACAAGCUGAGA
rnacentral:rRNA from 1 species